CAAGUCGAACGGGAAAGUGGAGCAAUCCAUGAGUAUAGUGGCGACCGGGUGAGUAACACGUGACUAACCUACCUUCGAGUGGGGGAUAACCUCGGGAAACCGGGGCUAAUACCGCAUAACAUCUUUGUUAUGAGAAAGCGAAGAUCAAAGGAGCAAUUCGCUUGAAGAGGGGGUCGCGGCUGAUUAGCUAGUUGGUGGGGUAACGGCCCACCAAGGCUUUGAUCGGUAGCCGGCCUGAGAGGGCGCACGGCCACACUGGAACUGAAACACGGUCCAGACUCCUACGGGAGGCAGCAGUGGGGAAUUUUGCGCAAUGGGGGAAACCCUGACGCAGCAACGCCGCGUGGAGGAUGAAGUCCCUUGGGACGUAAACUCCUUUCGACCGGGAAGAUUAUGACGGUACCGGUGGAAGAAGCCCCGGCUAACUUCGUGCCAGCAGCCGCGGUAAUACGAGGGGGGCAAGCGUUGUUCGGAAUUAUUGGGCGUAAAGGGCGCGUAGGCGGUGCGGUAAGUCACCUGUGAAAACUCUGGGCUCAACUCAGAGCCUGCAGGCGAAACUGCCGUGCUAAAUGUGGGA
rnacentral:rRNA from 1 species